GGGUGGAUUCCCGAGUGGCCAAAGGGGACAGACUGUAAAUCUGCUGCAACUUGCUUCGAUGGUUCGAAUCCAUCUCCACCCA
rnacentral:tRNA from 1 species